rnacentral:misc_RNA from 1 species
GAUGAAGAACGUAGCGAAAUGCGAUAAGUAAUGUGAAUUGCAGAAUUCAGUGAAUCAUCGAAUCUUUGAACGCACCUUGCGCCCUCUGGUAUUCCGGGGGGCAUGCCUGUCCGAGCGUCAUUUGCAACCCUCAAGCCCGGCUUGUGUGAUGGGUGCCGUCCCCUACGGGACGCGCCCCGAAGGCAAUGGCGGCGUCGCGGUUAUCCGAUCAGCCAAAGUGUAUGGGGCUUUGUCACUCACUUUACGGCCCGGACCGGCGCCAGUCCGAAUCAAUCUUUUUUCUAAAGUUGACCUCGGAUCAGGUAGGGAUACCCGCUGAACUUAAGCAUAUCAAUAAGCGGAGGA